CGUCAAAUCAGCACGGCCCUUACGUCCGGGGCGACACACGUGUUACAAUGGGUGGUACAGAGGGUAGCUACACAGUGAUGUGAUGCCAAUCUCGAAAGCCAUUCUCAGUUCGGAUUGGAGUCUGCAACUCGACUCCAUGAAGUUGGAUUCGCUAGUAAUCGCGCAUCAGCCAUGGCGCGGUGAAUACGUUCCCGGGCCUU
rnacentral:rRNA from 1 species